UUUCUUGGGAAAAUUGCUAGUGGUGGGU
rnacentral:sRNA from 1 species